ensembl:lncRNA
AUGUCUAGCGCUACAGGUUAUGGGCCCAGUCAUACCAGCCAAAGGUGGUUUAAGCUUUUAUUCGACGGCGAUGAGAAAAACUACGAGCUCUGGGAAACGCGGUUCCUCGCGCACAUGGAGUUGCGCGGCCUCGGUGCUGUCCUGCAGCAGGAAGCAGAGGACGACGAGGAUGCCCGCGCCGAAGACGAAGCGAAGAACGGGGAAGCAUACGCAGAGCUGGUACAGUGCUUGGAUGACAAGAGUUUGUCACUGGUCAUGAGAGAUGCAAGAAAUAACGGAAGAAAAGCGCUGGAGAUUCUCCGCGAGCACUAUGCAGGAAAAGACAAACCACGUGUCGUAAGUUUAUACUGUGAACUGUCCUCCCUCCAGAUGACUAGUAAAGAAACAGUAACUGACUAUAUUAUCAGAGCAGAGACUAUAUUCACGUCAUUAAGAAGGGCUGAUGAAAAUAUAAGUGAUGGACUCCAGAUAGCCAUGGUAGUAAAAGGGCUACCUGAUUCAUAUAAACCCUUUGUCGUGCACAUCACUCAGACAAAUGACACGGUAACGUUCAGCGAGUUUAAAACAAAACUGCGGAGUUACGAGAGUACCGAAAGAUACGGGAGGAGUGACGUGAGUGUAGAGGAGGACAACGUGAUGAAGACCAUCGGCGGGACAAGGUCGCGGGGAAGACAGAGAGGAAAGAAAGUGGACAUGGCUACUAUCGAGUGCUACACCUGUGGUAAAAAGGGACACAUGGCCAGGACUUGUCUUGCAGAUCCCCAGUUAAAGAGAGAGGAGCAAAACUGGGGCACACCACAACGAGGAAGAGGACGCGGUCGUGGACGAGGACGUGACUACAUGAAUAAAGCAGAGGAAGAGGCUACAUCCUUUUGUUUCUUUAAAAUGAGUGACUGUCCUAUGCAACAAGAAAAGAAAAGUCUUUUAGUAGACUGCGGUGCCACCACACACAUGAUUAACGACGCCACAAAGUUCAAGACAGUGGACAAGAACUUCAAACCAGAGAACCACGUGAUCGAACUUGCAGAUGGAACCAAGGUGAAAGGAAUGGCGAAGAUGAGGGGCGACGCAGAGAUCUACAUCCUGGACAGCGAGGGACGGCAGGUGAAAACAAGGCUGAAGCAAGCACUCUUCGUCCCAUCGUUUCCUCAGAACAUUUUCUCAGUUAAAGCAGCAACAGCCAACGGAGCCGAACUCCAUUUCAAGAAUGGGGAUAACUGGUUAUUCCACAAAAAUGGAACCAAAUUUGAGGUGAAGGUGUACGGUAGGCUGUAUUACCUGAACACUGUAGAAAAUGAAAAUGUUGAUGAGAUAUAUGGUUGUCAUGAUAUUCAGACCUGGCACAGAAUACUUGGUCAUUGUAACCUAGAUGAUGUUGCAAAACUUGAAAAGGUGGUUAAAGGCAUGACCAUAAAAGGAAAACAGGAAGGGUCCAACCAAAACUGUGAAGUUUGCAUACAGGGAAAAUUCACACAAAACAGAAACAGACAGGCAGAUGCUAAAGCUAAAACUAUACUGGAGCUAGUACACACAGAUUUAUGUGGCCCUAUAGAGCCAGUAGGCAAAGAUGGGUACAAGUAUGCGAUAACAUUUACUGAUGAUUACAGUGGAAUGAUUUUUCCGUACUUUAUAAAAGCAAAGAGUGGCACAACAAAAGCUACAGAAAAGUUCAUUGCAGAUGUAGCUCCAUAUGGAAAGAUAAAAUGUAUAAGAUCCGACAAUGGUACAGAGUUUACCGGGCAACCGUUCCAAACUUUACUCAGGAGUAAUGGGAUAAGGCACGAGACUAGUGCACCCUACUCACCACACCAGAACGGAACUGCAGAAAGAGGUUGGAGAACCUUAUUUGAGAUGUCACGAUGCAUGCUGUUGGAGAGCAAACUCCCAAAGCAUUUAUGGACGUAUGCUGUGCAAACAGCUGCCCAAAUCCGCAACAGAUGUUACAGUAGGCGACUGGAACAGACUCCUUACUGUGUAUUCACUGGAAAAACACCUGACCUAUCAAACAUGAAGGUAUUCGGUUCUGAGUGCUACGUGUACAAACAGGAUAAAAAGAAACUGGACUCUAGAUGUGAAAAGGGAUUUUUCUUAGGCUAUGACAAAUAUAGCCCAGCCUACAAUGUCUACUAUCCUGAAGUAGGAAAGAUCCAAAAACACAGGCUGAUAAAAUGUCUUACUAAAAGUAGUGCAGACAGUCAGACGCAAACAGAUUUUGACGUCAGAAAUGUUUUUGAGAUCCACAAAAAUACACCACCAAACAUGGUUGACCAAAAUGAAGUAGAACCAAAGGCGAGUGUAGAACCAAACCUAGAUGAGUUUACAGGGGCAGAUUCAACAGAAAGUACUCAGGAAGGAGAAGAAGUGAGAUAUCCUACAAGACAGAGAAAAGCUCCAGAGUAUUUAAAGGAUUAUCAAUGCAAAACUGAGUGUGACAAUGAUGAUGAUGAAGGUGUAGACUAUUUCUAUAAAGUGGCUUAUGGGGUGCCAAUAACAUUCAAAGAAGCCAUGGACUCUAAAAAAUCAAAAAUGUGGAAAAAUGCCAUGAGAGAGGAAAUGAACUCUUUAAAGGAAAAUGAGACUUUUAUUUUGAUGCCACUGCCAGAAGGUAAACAAGCAGUGGGAGGCCGUUGGGUGUAUGCAGUAAAGGAAAGCCCAGAUGGAUCUGAGACUUACAAAGCAAGGUAUGUUGCAAAAGGAUAUGGACAAAAAGAAGGGAUUGACUAUAAAGAGACUUUUUCACCAACAGCGAGUAUGACGUCUGUUCGAGCUUUGAUGCAGGUGGCGGUGCAGGAAGACCUCACACUGCACCAAAUGGACGUAAAGACUGCUUAUCUCCACGCUCCGAUGGACUGUGAAGUUUAUGUGGAGCAACCAGAAGGUUUUGAGGUAAAAUCCAAGACAGGAGAACACUUAGUGUGUAAACUGAACAAGUCACUGUAUGGUUUAAAACAGUCGGGACGUAACUGGAACUUGUUACUGCACGAUUACCUUGAAGAGAAUGGUUUUGUCCAGAAUGAUGCUGAUCAUUGUGUCUACAACAGAGGUUCUGAGAGUGGGAAGGUCAUUCUAUUAGUGUGGGUAGAUGACUUGAUCAUAGCAGCAAGUGACAACACCUUACUCAGGGAUGUGAAAGAGGUGUUAAAGAAAAGGUUCAAGAUGAAAGACAUGGGUCCACUUAAACAUUUUCUAGGCAUCGAUUUUUCACAGGGUGAGGGAGAGAUUAAAAUGACUCAAAAAAGACAUAUUGAAAAGGUGCUGACAAAAUUGGGGAUGUCCGAUUGUAAACCGAGAUUCACGCCAGGCGAGCAAAAGUUAAGUUUUGACAGUGAAGGAGAGAUCAUUGAUCCUACAGGGUACAGAGAGAUGGUGGGAAGCUUGAUUUACAUUAUGACAUGCACCAGACCCGAUCUAAGCUGGAUCGUUAGUAAAUUAUCACAACAUCUUGCGGAACCAAAACAACAGCACUGGUCUGCAGCAAAACAUCUAUUGAGAUAUUUGAAGGGUACUAGAGACCAAGAGCUUCACUAUCACAAAAGUGAGAAAGGUCUAAAGCUUGAAGGGUACAGUGAUGCUGACUGGGCGUCAGAUAAAGAUGACAGGAGGAGCACAACUGGAUACUGUUUUAGUCUAACUGAAAAUGGUCCAGUUAUAUCCUGGAAAAGCAGAAAACAGUCAACAGUAGCUCUAUCUACGUGUGAGGCAGAGUAUAUGGCGCUGGCUGCUGCUACCCAAGAAAGUAUGUAUCUUGUACAACUACUUAGAGGAGUAGAUAGUAGAGAGCAUGUACCUGUUAAGAUAUAUGAAGACAACCAGGGGGCGAUAGCUUUAUCAAAGAACCCGGUAUGCACACAGAGGAGCAAACACAUAGAUAUAAAGUUUCACUUUGUUCGAUCUGCGCACACUGAGGGAAAGAUAUCUAUUGAGUACUGCCCUACUGAAAAUAUGAUAGCUGAUGUUCUUACUAAGUCAGUGACAAAGGUCAAGUUCGAGAGUUUCAAAGGGUAUCUAUUUGGAAAAUAA